rnacentral:rRNA from 1 species
CGGAGGAAAAGAAACUAACAAGGAUUCCCCUAGUAACUGCGAGUGAAGCGGGAAGAGCUCAAAUUUGAAAUCUGGCGGCCUCGCCGUCCGAGUUGUAACCUGGAGAAGUGCCUUCCGCGCUGGACCGUGUACAAGUCCCUUGGAACGGGGCGUCAUAGAGGGUGAGAAUCCCGUCUUUGACACGGACCGCCAGUGCUCUGCGAUGCGCUCUCGAAGAGUCGAGUUGUUUGGGAAUGCAGCUCAAAAUGGGUGGUAAAUUCCAUCUAAAGCUAAAUAUUGGCGAGAGACCGAUAGCGAACAAGUACCGUGAGGGAAAGAUGAAAAGCACUUUGGAAAGAGAGUAAAACAGUACGUGAAAUUGUUGAAAGGGAAACGCUUGGAGUCAGUCGCGUCCGGUGGGACUCAGCCUCGCUUCUGCGGGGUGCACUUCCCGUCGGACGGGCCAGCGUCGGCUUUGGGGGGCGGACAAAGGCGGGGGGAAGGUGGCGGCUCCGGCCGUGUUAUAGCUCCCCGUCGUGCGCGUCCCCCGGGACCGAGGAACCCGGCGCUCGCCGCCUGGGACGCUGGCGUAAUGGCUCUAAGCGACCCGUCUUGAAACACGGACC